AUGCAUAAACUCACAGAGAAAAACUGGCUCAAAAUUAUUCUCUUCAAUCUUUCUCUGCAACUCUCAAGAACGAUUCAUUCUCCAAAGAUUCCGAGAAUAAUCAAUUUCUUCUCCUCCUCUGAGAUUUCCUCUACAACCUCUCAACACUCUCUCUUUCAUCUUCAUACCACUGCAAGCUUCACAAAUUUUACAAAACUUCAUCUGCAGCAAACGAUAUUCACCCGUCAUCUUCAUCAUCAGUGUUCAGUAACCUCAAUUUGA